GGCAGCACAAGAGAUGCUCAUUUCCAUCCCUGAAGACAUCUCCAGAGAUGCCUGGCUGGCAGCAGCUUGGAAGCAGGAGUGGGAGGCAGCUGGCCCCUCCCUCAUGCACAGUUAUGUCUGGGAACCAGGAGACGGCGCCAUAGGAGGAGACGAACUACCUCGCCAGCAGUGGACCACACUGAACCGCUUAAGAACUGGUGUUGGGCGCUUCAACAUGUCUAGUGGGGUCUGGCGGACAGUGCGGCAUGCGAGUGCGGAGCCCUCGAGCAGACAGCCGACCACACCAUCAACACCUACACCAACAUAUAGACCACCCUCAGAGGCCGGCCUCUUCGACCUGGGACCAGAGAUGCUGGCGUGGCUCCACGACACCAAGUUGGAGCGCUGACGUUACACGAGAGAGAGAGCGAGAGAGAGAGCGAGAGAGAGAGAGAGAGAGAGAGAGAGAGAGAGAGAGAGAGAGACUCCCAAACCAGGGUGGCAAGAAGCAGGACUUCUCAUUCCUCUCACAGGGAGAGCCAAGACUUUCCAAAAGACCUGUACAACGGAGGCCAGCAUCAUGAAACACAAACUCCCAAACCAGCAUGGUAACAUGAAACACAAACUCCCAAACCAGCAUGGUAACACACAGGACUUCUUCUGAUUCUUCUUAUGUUCUUGGGUCUUGCCUGUGGUUCUACACGCAUCCAGAAAUGCAGACAAAGAACAGCUUGGCCUUUAACAGUCGGAAGCCUCUGAUUUUACUCUACUAAGCCUCAGAUACAGUCUGUUUUCUGUUCUCAUUCAGU